rnacentral:rRNA from 1 species
UACGGAGGGUGCGAGCGUUGUCCGGAAUCACUGGGCGUAAAGGGCGCGUAGGUGGCCUGUGGAAGUCUGCGGUGAAAGCCCGGCGCUCAACGCCGGGUCGGCCGUGGAUACUCUCGGGCUCGAGCUUACUAGAGGCAGAUGGAAUUCCGGGUGUAGCGGUGGAAUGCGUAGAGAUCCGGAAGAACACCGGUGGCGAAGGCGGCGAAGCCUGGUCCUUGACUGACGCUGAGGCGCGAAGCGU